rnacentral:misc_RNA from 1 species
ACAAACUUGGUCAUUUAGAGGAAGUAAAAGUCGUAACAAGGUCUCCGUUGGUGAACCAGCGGAGGGAUCAUUACCGAGUUUACAACUCCCAAACCCAAUGUGAACGUUACCAAACCGUUGCCUCGGCGGGAUCUCUGCCCCGGGCGCGUCGCAGCCCCGGACCAAGGCGCCCGCCGGAGGACCAACCAAAACUCUCAUCGCACGACCCCCUCGCGGGUUGUUCUUUUUCUUCCUUACUAUCUGAGCCGCCUCGGCGCCCCCUCGCGGGCGUUUCGAAAAUGAAUCAAAACUUUCAACAACGGAUCUCUUGGUUCUGGCAUCGAUGAAGAACGCAGC